rnacentral:rRNA from 1 species
UACGAAGGGGGCUAGCGUUGCUCGGAAUCACUGGGCGUAAAGCGCGCGUAGGCGGCUUACUAAGUCAGGGGUGAAAUCCUGGAGCUCAACUCCAGAACUGCCUUUGAUACUGGUGAGCUUGAGUCCGGAAGAGGUGAGUGGAACUGCGAGUGUAGAGGUGAAAUUCGUAGAUAUCGGGAGGAACACCGGUGGCGAAGGCGGCGACCUGGGUAGAUACUGACGCUGAGGCGCGAAAGCGUGGGGAGCAAACAGG